AGUGAACGCUGGCGGUAGGCCUAACACAUGCAAGUCGAACGGCAGCACAGUAAGAGCUUGCUCUUACGGGUGGCGAGUGGCGGACGGGUGAGGAAUGCAUCGGAAUCUACUUUUUCGUGGGGGGUAACGUAGGGAAACUUACGCUAAUACCGCAUACGACCUACGGGUGAAAGCAGGGGAUCUUCGGACCUUGCGCGAUUGAAUGAGCCGAUGUCGGAUUAGCUAGUUGGCGGGGUAAAGGCCCACCAAGGCGACGAUCCGUAGCUGGUCUGAGAGGAUGAUCAGCCACACUGGAACUGAGACACGGUCCAGACUCCUACGGGAGGCAGCAGUGGGGAAUAUUGGACAAUGGGCGCAAGCCUGAUCCAGCCAUACCGCGUGGGUGAAGAAGGCCUUCGGGUUGUAAAGCCCUUUUGUUGGGAAAGAAAAGCAGCAGGUUAAUACCCCGCUGUUCUGACGGUACCCAAAGAAUAAGCACCGGCUAACUUCGUG
rnacentral:rRNA from 1 species